rnacentral:sRNA from 1 species
CACCGCCUAGGGGAGUACGACCGCAAGGUUAAAACUCAAAUGAAUCGACGGGGACCCGCACAAGUAGUGGAGCAUGUGGUUUAAUUCGAAGAUACGCGCAGAACCUUACCAACACUUGACAUGUUCGUCGCGACUUUAAGAGAUUAAAGUUUUCGGUUCGGCCGGACGAAACACAGGUGCUGCAUGGCUGUCGUCAGCUCGUGUCGUGAGAUGUUGGGUUAAGUCCCGCAACGAGCGCAACCCUCACUUUUAGUUGCCAUCAUUAAGUUGGGCACUCUGAAAGAACUGCCAGUGAUAAGCUGGAGGAAGGUGGGGAUGACGUCAAGUCCUCAUGGCCCUUACGUGUUGGGCUACACACGUGCUACAAUGGUAUCUACAACAGGAAGCAAAACCGCGAGGUUAAGCAAAUCCUUAAAAGAUACCUCAGUUCGGAUUGCACUCUGCAACUCGAGUGCAUGAAGCUGGAAUUACUAGUAAUCGUGGAUCAGCGUGCCACGGUGAAUGCGUUCCCGGGUCUUGUACACACCGCCCGUCACACCAUGGGAGUUGGUUCUACCUUAAGGCAAGGUUUAAAACCCUUGACCACGGUAUAGUCAGCGACUGGGGUGAAGUCGUAACAAGGUAGCCGUAGGGGAACCUGCGGCUGGAUUACCUCCUUUCUAAGGAUGAACAAAAGUAAAAUUUUGUUCUAAAUAAUAUACAGGUAAUGUUGACCGUCCUCAUUUCUCUUCUUAAAGUAGUGUUUCUCUUGCAUGGGGGCCGGUAGCUCAGUUGGUUAGAGCACACCCUUGAUAAGGGUGGGGUCGAAAGUUCGAGUCUUUCUCGGCCCACCAAUUAUAGAUCAUGGGGGAUUAGCUCAGCUGGGAGAGCGCCUGAUUUGCAUUCAGGAGGUCAGCGGUUCGAUCCCGCUAUCCUCCACCAAAACACUUAGUUAUGAAAAAUCGUAAAAAAAAUUAUUAAUAUCAAUAUCUAUAUCCGAACAUUAGAAAUGUUAUUAGCUAAUGUUCAAAAUAAAAAUUUGAUUCAACACAGAAUUUUUUUCUG